AGAAUCAACGCUGGCGGCGUGCCUAACACAUGCAAGUCGAACGAGAAAGUGGAGCAAUCCAUGAGUAAAGUGGCGCACGGGUGAGUAACACGUGACUAACCUACCUUUUAGUGGGGGAUAACCUAGGGAAACCUGGGCUAAUACCGCAUAAUACCUACGGGUCAAAGCAGCAAUGCGCUGAAAGAGGGGGUCGCGGUCGAUUAGUUAGUUGGCAGGGUAAUGGCCUACCAAGACUGUGAUCGAUAUCCGGCCUGAGAGGGCGCACGGACACACUGGAACUGAAACACGGUCCAGACUCCUACGGGAGGCAGCAGUGGGGAAUUUUGCGCAAUGGGGGAAACCCUGACGCAGCAACGCCGCGUGGAGGAUGAAGUCCCUUGGGACGUAAACUCCUUUCGAUCGGGACAUAAUGACGGUACCGGAAGAAGAAGCCCCGGCUAACUUCGCGCCAGCAGCCGC
rnacentral:rRNA from 1 species